CCUACGGGAGGCAGCAGUAAGGAAUAUUGGUCAAUGGGCGCAAGCCUGAACCAGCCAUGCCGCGUGCAGGAUGACGGCCCUCUGGGUUGUAAACUGCUUUUAUACGGGAAGAACAGCAUCUACGUGUAGGUGUUUGACGGUACUGUAAGAAUAAGGACCGGCUAACUUCGUGCCAGCAGCCGCGGUAAUACGAAGGGUCCAAGCGUUAUCCGGAUUUAUUGGGUUUAAAGGGUGCGUAGGCGGCUUUUUAAGUCAGUGGUGAAAGCCUGAUGCUCAACAUCAGAACUGCCAUUGAUACUGAAGAGCUUGAGUACAGUUGAGGUUGGCGGAAUGUGUCAUGUAGCGGUGAAAUGCUUAGAUAUGACACAGAACACCGAUUGCGAAGGCAGCUAGCUAAGCUGUUACUGACGCUGAUGCACGAAAGCGUGGGGAGCAAACAGGAUUAGAUACCCUGGUAGUCCACGCCCUAAACGUUGAUAACUCGUUGUUAGCGAUAUACUGUUAGCGACCAAGCGAAAGCAUUAAGUUAUCCACCUGGGAAGUACGGUCGCAAGAUUGAAACUCAAAUGAAUUGACGG
rnacentral:rRNA from 1 species